rnacentral:rRNA from 1 species
AUACGGAGGGUGCAAGCGUUGUUCGGAAUCAUUGGGCGUAAAGCGGGUGUAGGCGGCUUGGCAAGUCGGUUGUGAAAUCCCUGGGCCCAACCCAGGAACUGCAAUCGAAACUGCCUCGCUAGAGUCUCGGAGAGGGUGGCGGAAUUCCCGGUGUAGAGGUGAAAUUCGUAGAUAUCGGGAGGAACACCAGUGGCGAAGGCGGCCACCUGGACGAUGACUGACGCUCAGACCCGAAAGCGUGGGGAGCAAACAGGAUUAGAAACCCCAGUAGUCC